CACAGCUCAGCUUUCUGCAGACAGUUAUGACAGAGCAACCACUUGGAAAUCAAAGGAUUUCUCAGAAGCAGCUGAUCAUCUGAGGAGUGCAGGUGGGGGCUGAUACAGGGCUUUCAGCAUGCCAUAAUUUAUCUGACUUGUCCCUCUGUACCACUAUGCCAGCAGCAUUUUGCCAGAAAUGAUCAAUGAGGAGGAGGAUCUGGCUUAACUGAAACGUUGGAACCAGCCUGCAUGGUGAAAACCACGGAGGCAAGAAGAAGCAGCUGCAAGUGUCAUGGCAGGGCCUUCUGCAGACCUGGAGGCAAGCACCAGCUUCUCAGGACAGGCUUCUUCUGGGUUACGGAGAGAGGUCUGGAAUGAUCUUCAAAGUAGCCUGAUCACUUCAUGCUGACAUUUUAAUAACAUCAAUGGGAGGACUUGCGGAGAGUGCUCACUCUGUAGAAUAUUGUGCGACCUCAGAAAGAUAUAAAUGAAAGAAUGGAUUGAAAAAUAAGCACCUAUGUCUCUUACUUUAAAUUUGUAUCUUUCAUGCCUCGCCAAAAAUUAGAUGACAGUAUAUAAUUUUUUCCUCUUUAGGUUUGUAUUUGAACAUUUAUUUCAAAAAAUCAGGUCCAAAUUAAUCAA